rnacentral:rRNA from 1 species
UGGGGAAUUUUGGACAAUGGGGGAAACCCUGAUCCAGCCAUCCCGCGUGUGCGAUGAAGGCCUUCGGGUUGUAAAGCACUUUUGGCAGGAAAGAAACGUCGCGGGUUAAUACCCCGCGAAACUGACGGUACCUGCAGAAUAAGCACCGGCUAACUACGUGCCAGCAGCCGCGGUAAUACGUAGGGUGCAAGCGUUAAUCGGAAUUACUGGGCGUAAAGCGUGCGCAGGCGGUUCGGAAAGAAAGAUGUGAAAUCCCAGAGCUUAACUUUGGAACUGCAUUUUUAACUACCGGGCUAGAGUGUGUCAGAGGGAGGUGGAAUUCCGCGUGUAGCAGUGAAAUGCGUAGAUAUGCGGAGGAACACCGAUGGCGAAGGCAGCCUCCUGGGAUAACACUGACGCUCAUGCACGAAAGCGUGGGGAGCAAACAGGAUUAGAUACCCUGGUAGUCCACGCCCUAAACGAUGUCAACUAGCUGUUGGGGCCUUCGGGCCUUGGUAGCGCAGCUAACGCGCGAAGUUGACCGCCUGGGGAGUACGGUCGCAAGAUUAAAACUUAAAUGAAUUGACGGGGGUCAUAGCUGUUU